rnacentral:rRNA from 1 species
CACAUGCAAGUCGAACGGUAACAUUUCUAGCUUGCUAGAAGAUGACGAGUGGCGGACGGGUGAGUAAUGCUUGGGAACUUGCCUUUGCGAGGGGGAUAACAGUUGGAAACGACUGCUAAUACCGCAUAAUGUCUUCGGACCAAACGGGGCUUCAGCUCCGGCGCAAAGAGAGGCCCAAGUGAGAUUAGCUAGUUGGUAAGGUAACGGCUUACCAAGGCGACGAUCUCUAGCUGUUCUGAGAGGAAGAUCAGCCACACUGGGACUGAGACACGGCCCAGACUCCUACGGGAGGCAGCAGUGGGGAAUAUUGCACAAUGGGGGAAACCCUGAUGCAGCCAUGCCGCGUGUGUGAAGAAGGCCUUCGGGUUGUAAAGCACUUUCAGUUGUGAGGAAAAGUUAGUAGUUAAUACCUGCUAGCCGUGACGUUAACAACAGAAGAAGCACCGGCUAACUCCGUGCCAGCAGCCGCGGUAAUACGGAGGGUGCGAGCGUUAAUCGGAAUUACUGGGCGUAAAGCGCACGCAGGCGGUUUGUUAAGCUAGAUGUGAAAGCCCCGGGCUCAACCUGGGAUGGUCAUUUAGAACUGGCAGACUAGAGUCUUGGAGAGGGGAGUGGAAUUCCAGGUGUAGCGGUGAAAUGCGUAGAUAUCUGGAGGAACAUCAGUGGCGAAGGCGACUCCCUGGCCAAAGACUGACGCUCAUGUGCGUAAGUGU